AUUGAACGCUGGCGGCAGGCCUAACACAUGCAAGUCGAACGGUAGCACAGAGAGCUUGCUCUCGGGUGACGAGUGGCGGACGGGUGAGUAAUGUCUGGGAAACUGCCCGAUGGAGGGGGAUAACUACUGGAAACGGUAGCUAAUACCGCAUAACGUCGCAAGACCAAAGUGGGGGACCUUCGGGCCUCACACCAUCGGAUGUGCCCAGAUGGGAUUAGCUAGUAGGGGGGGGAAUGGCUUACCUAGGCGACGAUCCCUAGCUGGUCUGAGAGGAUGACCAGCCGCACUGGGACUGAGACACGGACCAGGCUCCUACGGGAGGCAGCAGUGGGGAAUAUUGCGCAAUGGGCGCAAGCCUGAUGCAGCCAUGCCGCGUGUAUGAAGAAGGCCUUCGGGUUGUAAAGUACUUUCAGCGGGGAGGAAGGCGGUGAAGUUAAUAGCUUCACCGAUUGACGUUACCCGCAGAAGGAGCACCGGCUAACUCCGUGCCAGCCGCCGCCGUAA
rnacentral:rRNA from 1 species